rnacentral:rRNA from 1 species
AUUGAACGCUAGCGGGAUGCCUUACACAUGCCAGUCGAACGGAGUGGCGAACGGGUGAGUAAUGUAUCGGAACGUGCCCAGUAGCGGGGGAUAACUACGCGAAAGCGUAGCUAAUACCGCAUACUAUUGGAGCGGCCGAUAUCGGGUUAGCUAGUGUGGGGGGUAACGGCUCACAAUGGCGACGAUGCGUAGCUGGUUUGAGAGGACGACCAGCCACCCUGGGACGGAGACACGGCCCAGACUCCGACGGGAGGAAGCAGUGGGGAAUGUUGGACAAGGGGGGAAACCCUGAUCCAGCCAUCCCUCGUGUGCGAUGAAGGCCUUCGGGUUGUAAAGCACUUUUGGCAGGAAAGCGGUACCUGCAGAAUAAGCACCGGCUAACUACGUGCCAGCAGCCGCGGUAAUAC